rnacentral:ncRNA from 1 species
GGAGUAGAAGUAGUGCGUUAAGUACCGGACGGAUGGGAGGUUGCCGCCGGGCGAAGGAACGGUUUUGCUGUUCCACGAUACUACGUUCGCAACCGCCU